UUGCGGCCAUAUCGCGUCGAAACACCAGUUAUCGUCCGAUCACCGAAGUUAAGCAACGUUUGACCUCGACAGUAUCUGGAUGGGUGACCGCUGGUGAUUACCCAGUGGCUGUUA